UUCGCGUUUAGCAUAGUGGGACGGUGUCUUAUUUAUUUGUUUCCUUUCUGUGUUGUUCGAAUCUAAAUUUUAAAUUGCUGAGAAAGGAAGGUGCUGUUGAGGAUUUCUUGAAGCAGAACAGAGAUUCCUCGGAUUUAUUUGAGAAAUUUUUAUCCAUUUCCGAGAGCGAAAAACAAUUGAAGUCCCGUUACAGCCAAGACCUAAUGGAGAAACUGAAAGAAAUGGCAGAAGAUAGUGUCGAAGAUGCACCCGUGUUUAAAACACGAGAUGAGGUCAUGAAGCGGGUAAACGGGUUGUGAUGUAAUACCCUAAUCUGUACGGCCAGUGUUAUCAAUGUGUUUAAUAGAUAAUAUUAAAGCGUAUUCGUAUUCCAUGAAAUAUGGAAGACAUGAAAUAUAUUUAUUUGGAUAUAUGUCAUGCCUUCCAUGAAAUAUAUCCGAAUAAAUGCUAUCUAUGUGAUGUGAAGUGUUGAAUCGUGUUACUGUCACAGGAGCCCCAGGGAACACAAUGCUGGAAACCCUGACUACUGUAGCUUGGUAAGGAGGUUGGCUGGUCAAUAAUGGUUAGGGUCCCUUAUUCUUAUUGCAAUAACACAACUGAUAUUACAUAUCCGAAAUGUGUUACGGUCCUUGCACUAAGAUUCGGAGGUCCUGCUUAUUAACUUUGCGCCUUGGCUGGAAAGAAGCACUUGUCUGCGUCAAUACUAGCCUGUUUAGCAAAAGCAGCAAGUAGAUAGUAAUUCGAGUCCAGCUCUUUUUAAAUAACAACAUGGGGUUGUUAAUAAAGAGAGGAUAAUUUUAUUAGAAAGUAGACUGGACUAAUCAAUCAGGAAGAUCCGAUUGCAGUCGAAUACAUUCCGCCUUGGUAAUACAGUGAGUGCCGUGAAUGAGAUGUGUUUUCUUUAACUUUGUUUUCCCCUUGCCUGCUUCCUUUAGCGUUCAUAAGAGUCCCAGAAUACAGUGCAUUGAAAAGAAGAUUAUCUGCAGCACAGUGAGAAUCAUCAUCAUCUGUUAAGGACUAUUUAUUCUCAGGCUUGUAAAGAUAAGAACAUUUGUUUUUAAGGAGUCAUUAAAAUAUAUUAGGAAUUAAUCAGAUAGUAUUGAACAUCAUAAGAUCAAUGAAGUCUUUUUUUAGAUUAGACCUUGUAUGAAUGGUUACUAUUUGGAAUAGUGUUUAGUAAAACAAUAAAUUAAAUACCAAAUUAGGUCUUUUUUAACAAUGUAAACAAUUUUAAGGUUAUUUUCUUAUAAUUUAACACCACCAAUUGUAAUUACUGUUCUAUAUAUAUAUAUAUAUAUAUAUAUAUAUAUAUAUAUAUAUAUAUAUAUAUAUAUACACACAUAUAUAUGGAAAUGUCUGUAGAGAACUUCCAGCACCCCUUCCAGAAUUCUUCCAGCACUCCUGGGGCUAAUCAAUGACAAAACAUGGGAUGGGUGAAAUUGCUCUGCAGUAGGGGUCUUCGCUGUACCUUUGGGAAGAACCUUGCCUACCUAGGCAACGUGGCAAAGCAGCGCUAACUGUGAAGCCACCAAAUACAGAUGUAACAUUUCCGGAUGUGUAUGGGAGGCAGUAACUGGAUGCUGGUAACCAUCUUAAAGUCUGUAAAAUGUCUUUAUUGUGUUUAUACAGCAUAUUAGAAGUAUACAUCAUGUCCUAAUAAAUUCACAAAAACUAGCUUUAGAACAUCUCCCUUUCCAUUAGGUUCAGUGAAACCCAAGCACUACAGCUGUGUUCAUACAGUCACCACUAUUUUCUCUAAAUAAAGUCUGAUUAAUGAACACAUUUCUUGGCUAUCCAUAAUUGUUUUUCAGUUUCUAUUACAGUUAGACAAGGUGCACAAAUACUCCUCUUCAAUUACCUUUAAAUGUAAGCCACAAAGAAAUGAACAGAACAUGUAUGUUUACCCCAAAGCCUUUGUAGAUGGAAAACAAAGACAACAAGAAAAUAAAUACCUGCAUCAUUUUCAUAGCAGGUGGCGAGUAAUAAUUUAGUAUACUCACAUGGUUAUCACAAUUCUUGUUUCGUUCCACUAGAACUAUGCCACCUCUCUCCAGAAAAGAAAGACAGACAGUAGACAACCUAAACUUAACGGCAUGUUAUUCUACCACCUUCCAUGUUACAACAUCAGAUAUCUGAACUAUUCCAUCUGAUCAGAACUCACUGCAUUCAGGCAGGUUUGUGAACAAAUUUGGCCGUUCUCUAUAAAAAGCAAUGACAUAACUUAAUUUUGCACUUAAAUUGUGUGACUCCACAAAAUGUCCCUUUACAGUCUGUACAAGAAAAGCCAGUGAUUGCAAAGAAUAGUGUGAAAUUGUAUUUGUUCAUCUGAGUGGGCCAUAAUAUGCUGCUUGCUGUUGAGAUGAGGAGUUUGGUAUUUAAUCAUCUCUCAAAGCUAAAUUGCCACCUGGCAUUCUUUUUUGUCCAAAGGUUGAAAAUCUUGACAUGUGUAAUAUCUGACAUCCAGAACCACUUGGGUUUGUUUUUUCGUUUGAUUAGCCUCCAAAACCACAUUUGGGAGAGAGGAGACAUAGUGAGCUAAUUUCCAUAUUCAAUAUACGAACAAGAUUGUGGUUGAUAUAAUUUGUUUGUUUUUAUUAAAUGUCUGUUGCUUUAAAAAAAAAAAAAAAAAAACCUGACAUCUGCCAUUGCACCAAUAAAUCUGACAAAAUUAGUAUAUUCUAAAUGGCUGGUUUUCUUUAAACCAGGAAAAACAUAAAAAAAUGGUUCUUUGGAAACUGAA